GUCUACGGCCAUGCUGUCCUAAACAAGCCCAAUCCUGUUUGAUCUCGGAAGCUAAACAGAGUUGGACCUGGAUAGUACUUAGAUGGGAGACUACCUAGGAAGACCAGGUGCUGUAGGUG
rnacentral:rRNA from 1 species